rnacentral:rRNA from 1 species
UACGGGGGGGGCAAGCGUUGUUCGGAAUUACUGGGCGUAAAGGCUCGUAGGCGGCCAACUAAGUCGGACGUGAAAUCCCUCGGCUUAACCGGGGAACUGCGUCCGAUACUGGAUGGCUUGAGUGUGGGAGAGGGAUGCGGAAUUCCAGGUGUAGCGGUGAAAUGCGUAGAUAUCUGGAGGAACACCGGUGGCGAAGGCGGCAUCCUGGACUACUACUGACGCG